AUAAUUGCCACACAUUGUGGGAGGGAACUAAUGGGAGACAACUGAAUCAUGGAGGCAGGUCUUUCCCAUGCUGAACUAUCUGAUGGUUUUAUAAAGGGA